rnacentral:rRNA from 1 species
AAACUAACAAGGAUUCCCCUAGUAACUGCGAGUGRAGCGGGAAAAGCUCAAAUUUAAAAUCUGGCGGGUUCCCCGUCCGAGUUGUAAUCUGGAGAAGCGUUUUCCGUGUCGGACCGUGUACAAGUCCCUUGGAAUGGGGCGUCAUAGAGGGUGAGAAUCCCGUCCAUGACACGGACUACCGAUGCUUUGUGAUACGCUCUCGAAGAGUCGAGUUGUUUGGGAAUGCAGCUCAAAAUGGGUGGUAAAUUCCAUCUAAAGCUAAAUAUUGGCGAGAGACCGAUAGCGAACAAGUACCGUGAGGGAAAGAUGAAAAGCACUUUGGAAAGAGAGUUAAACAGUACGUGAAAUUGUUGAAAGGGAAACGCUUGAAGUCAGUCGCGUCCGUCGAGACUCAGCCUUGCCUUUGGGCCUGGUGUAUUUCUUGGUGGACGGGUCAACAUCGAUUUUGAAUGGCAGAUAAAGGUCUGGGGAAUGUGGCACCUCCGGGUGUGUUAUAGCCCCUCUCCGUAUAUGCUGUUUGGGAUCGAGGAACGCAGCACGCCCUUGUGGCCGGGGUUUUACCCACGUACCGUGCUUAGGAUGUUGGCAUAAUGGCUUUAAGCGACCCGCUGA